GCGCCCUUAGCUCAGCUCGGUAGAGCAACUGAUUCUUAAUCAGUGGGUCGGAGGUUCGAAUCCUCCAGGGCGUACCA
rnacentral:tRNA from 1 species